GCAUAAAGGAAAUCUGAGAAUAAAAGUGAAACAUCUUGUUUACAGUAUAGCUAUUAGUCUAAGAAUGAAGGUUAAAAAAAUCUUAUUUACAGUAUGUUCAAUGUGGGUAUAUGUAUUAACAUGAAUGAGGUCUGUACAGAAAGUAGAUAAUACUUAUUGCACGUAGUUUUUAAAUGAGUAUGGGUGUUGUAUUAUAGCUGGUGUUGUUUUCUCUCAGAGUUCAGCGCGGUGAUGGCUCUUGGGAAAAAAAUGUUUUUCAGUCUGGUAGUCCUUGUUCGAAUGACUCUGUAGCGCCUCCCAGAAGGAAGCAGUUCAAACAGCUGAGAGGCGGGAUGUGUGUUGUCUUUGAUGAUGUUGUGAGCUCUGCUGACGCACCGGAUGUUGUGUCAGGAAGGGGAGAGGGCAGCCGAUGAUCCUUUGCGCUGCUUUGACUGUCCUCUGUAGCCUCCCUCUAUCUGCAGCACUGCAGCUCCCGUACCAGGUGGUGAGGCAGUACGUCAGCAGGCUCUCAAUGGAGGAAUGAUAGAAGUUGUCGUCAGGCGUCUGCACCCUGCCGUCACCUAGGAGUCUCUCCCUUUCUCCCGCUUCAUCCUCCUCCUCCGUGGCCACCAGUCCGGCGCAGCACGGUAUUCUGGCCAGCAGGGGAUGAUGCAGUCCGUUGUAAAGUCCCGUUCCCAGCAGUAGAACCAAAAAUCCCAGCACUUGCAGGCCAUGGAACUGCUCCCAACCCAGCGCCAGGCUGACCACCCAAAUGACCAGCGUGCGCAGGCUGUCCAGCACCAUGCGGGUGGUGGCGCUGAUCUCCUUGGUGACGCUGAUGCCGGCAAAGUUGAAGAAAGCAAUGCUCACGGUGUUGCCCAGCAGGGCCAACAAGAUAAGAGGACGGAAUCCGAUUUGGCAGAAGGCGUCCAGUGCAUCCUCUAGAACAUGUCGGGGGGUGUCGCUAAAUUGGCCCACAUGGAUGAAAUACAUGGGGAUGAGCAGCAGUGACAGAACAAAGAAGCCGAAGAAACCUGGACACACAACAUGACAGGAGUCCAACAUGAGCCAUUUACAUGUUUUAGGGUGUCCUAAGUGGAUAUUUGCUUUACCUUCAGUUCCAACUGCACGCAAAGGAUGGACGUCAUGUUUGUCAACAAACUUUUCCUCCAGGACCAUCUGAACAGCAACGAUGACUUGAGCCAUGAUGAUCAGAAGGUCGCCUGCAGGACACGUCAGAGAAGUGGGUGAUGGUCGAAUUGAAACAAAGUCCAACUUCUUUCUCACCGGUGAUGACAUCACUGAGUUUGUGGGUGUCGUCAUAGUGUCUGCUGACAAAAUCGGCUAGGCCCACGAUCACCAGGCCCAAGAUGGUGAUGAGGAUUCCGAUCCACUGACUGAUUAGCAGCCGGCGCCUGAGAAACGCCACCGAAAGUAAACCAGUGAAGAUGAUGACGGCUCCUCGCAACAUCUGGAAGCUAGAAGCGUUGGUCAUGUUGAGAGCUGCAACCACAAGAAAGGAAUGAAUGACAACUUGAAAUUACCUCUAAGCACAAUUAAAGGAGAAAAUCGGCGAUGGCUUACCAACAUACAUGGUUGAGGUGGCCAACAUGUCACACAUGGCGGGGGGGAAGAAGAGAAGAGGGUUGAAACUCUGGCCCGUGUUCAUGCUGGGCUCGGGCCUGCGUCGGUCGUGGCAAAGUAGGAUGUAGAAGACUCCCAAGCAGCAGAACUCUCCCAGAAACAUACCCACUGCCUGCAUGACAAGAAACACAUUGGAAACAGAAAAUAGAUUAUGACUAUUUUUUUUUAAAACAUAUAAGUGGACCUUUGGAGUAUAAAUCAGCACUUACCUGUACAAAGGGGUGAGAGAAUGCAUGUUCAGGGGUACCAUGGCAACCCGGUGCCCUGAACGUGUCUGCCCAUCUGUCACAAAAUAAUAUAGUCCAUUUUUUAUAUUUCACAACAGUGACCUGCAAUUUCCUUAAAAUCGGUUGAAAUUAAUUACGUUUUUUUUUAUGUGUGUCCUAAUCUAUUGAUGCACAAAUCCAAGUUUUAUAGUCAGACCAUAAGAGGAAGCGCAACUGAUGUGUCGUCUGUUUCAGUGAGCAUGACAAGGGAAUCCGGUCUCCAAAAGUGAUGACACAGCACUUGGACCAAAAUCGUCUCACCACGACAUAUAUCACAAAAUAGACUUUGUCUCCUGAUUCCUUGUGUUUAAUAAGAUUCAGUAAAAGUAAAGCAAACGAGGUGCAAUGAAUGGUGCAUGCUGUCUCCGUCUCAUGUGACUGUAGUGAAACUCAAGUUGAUAGUAGCCUGCCUUGUCUGCCUGCCGGCAAUAAGAGCUGCUAAGUCUGCACUGAGUGAUUUGAACUUUGGACUCCACUCACUUGAGCCUGGAUGCUGCUCAGCUGACCCACCAACAAUGACAUUUGUGAGAAGCAGAAUCUCUCCAGUUCCACUCUAGCUUCAACUGCUGAUGUGGACGAAGAAAGAGUCAUUGGCAGGCCUCCUGAACGUCACAUGAUAGCUUCGAAUGGAAAUACAUUUCUAAACCCCCAAAAAGAAAAAGAAAAACAUUUCCAAUACCACGUCGUCAGGGGAAACCCCGGAAUGGUCGCCACUCAAUCACAAGGCAACCAUUAACACUCACAUUCACAACUGCUUUGGUGAAGAUGUGAAUUAAUCUAAUCAAGGCUGUUGUUAAUCAGCAAACUUCCAAAACAAAACCUUAUUUUCUAGACCUUUUUAAUGACUUU